rnacentral:rRNA from 1 species
GGCGAACGCUGGCGGCGUGCUUAUCACAUGCAAGUCGAACGGUAAGGCCCUUCGGGGUACACGAGUGGCGAACGGGUGAGUAACACGUGGGUGAUCUGCCCUGCACUUCGGGAUAAGCCUGGGAAACUGGGUCUAAUACCGGAUAGGACCCUGGGAUGCAUGUCCUGGGGUGGAAAGCUUUUGCGGCGUGGGAUGGGCCCGCGGCCUAUCAGCUUGUUGGUGGGGUGAUGGCCUACCAAGGCGACGACGGGUAGCCGGCCUGAGAGGGUGACCGGCCACACUGGGACUGAGAUACGGCCCAGACUCCUACGGGAGGCAGCAGUGGGGAAUAUUGCACAAUGGGCGCAAGCCUGAUGCAGCGACGCCGCGUGAGGGAUGACGGCCUUCGGGUUGUAAACCUCUUUCAGCACCGACGAAGCGCAAGUGACGGUAGGUGCAGAAGAAGGACCGGCCAACUACGUGCCAGCCGCCGCCGUAA